CCAUUCAAGCCUUUCUGUCUCGUCUCUUUCCUUGCAGUGCUCCGGGAAGGAACGGAGGCUGUCUGUAAAUUGCAGUUUAAAACCAUAAUACCCCUGCAUUGAACUGUCGUCAGAUGGUUGCAGUUUUCUAAUCUGCAUUUUGUCUGAAGGAAAUGAGAAGCAGAAUUUCUCCUUCCUCCAAAGCCCUGUUAAUUUUAAUCCUUUUGCAUGGAGCUGGAUUCAUGCUGCGGCCAGGGCAUUAAACCUGAAACAAGGUGGAUCCAAAUGGAAAAAAAUGUAGAUGAUUACUGGCCAUCUGCCAAAAAGACGCUUGGGGACGUGAAAAUUCUGGAAUCAGUGAAGGUUCAUUUUGAUCAAAUAUUCAUAUUCUGAGCCAUGUGUCAACAAUUUUACUGUUUAAAGACAAGAAGGUUGUGGAGGGGAAUACUGACACCAUCCUUCACAGGGGAGUUUACUUUCAGACUUCUUACAUAAAGAAGAAUAUGUUGUUAAAGAAGAAUGGAGCAAACAUUAAGAUUUGUUCACAUGAAGGUGCAAAAGCACUGGAAACAGGGAAAGGGGGUGGGUGGGGAACAGAGAGGUCAUAGUAACGCACUCAGCUUUUAAGUUAAGAUUAACCAUAUGUAUGGACAUUUGGGAAAUGCUUCAUGUAUUUUCAUUUCCACAGAUUCAUUGUACUAAUACCAUUAGACAGAACUAUCUUUUUUAACUGAAGGAGCUGCAGUCCUGCAGGCUCACAUGUAUAGCUGGAGUCCUAGAUUUGGAGGCCUGAAUAUAAAGACUAGCCAACACCUUCUCAUUGCAUUCAUUCUGUGAUACUUAAUUUCUCUGCUACUGAAGGGCAGCUCUUUCUUGGAAAAAAUUGCCUUCUCCAUCACGUUUGGUCCACUUAUUGCAGGAUAGCUUAACAAGAUCUUUCUGCGAUCAGCAACAAGAUUUUUCCAGCAGAAUAUUUUUCUAUUCCUGAGCAUUUCACAAACCACCUCUGAUUUUCUCAAGCAGAUUUGAUAAGCUAUGUUAUUCAAAUAUACAUCAACUCAUGGGCUGUGCAGAAUGUUCUUGUGUGAUUUGUCUUCAUUACUGCUCCAGUUUGAUUGCACAUCUCGGUUACAGGAACCACGCAUGACAGACUGUUGCUUCCUAGUAAGCUGAGCCUAAAUGAGAUAAACCAGUGAAAUUCUGUAAACAGAUGAAAUGGUUUUGAGGGCUGUUCUGCCCAUGGAAGAUUGAUUUGUGCUCCACCUAUUCUAUCCUUGCUUCCUUGGCACUUGCAUUUCCUCAACAAACAUGCCAUGAAUAUAAAAAUGUGAAACAAGUAAUUAAAACUAGCCAUAAAUGGGAGAAUUCCUACUGCAGGGAAAUCCAUUUGGACUUAGCAAAUUGGUGUCCAAAUGCUUUUUACUUUGUUAGGGACAGUGAGAGGAGAAUGAAGACAAGGUUAGACAUUUGAGGCCAUCCCUGUGAGGGAGUAAUGGCAUUCUCGGGACUAACUGACUUGGAUUUGGCAGAGAGACAGCCUACCAUCCACAUCAGACCAUGGGUAGAAAUGAAGUUUUGUGCCUACUCUUGGCUGUGCAGACUGCCAGGUGCAGAACUGACAGCGGUUUGCACAUCAGAAAUGUCAAAGACAGCUUGGCUGUGGUCUGUUUUUUACCUUUAAUUUCCCUGCUGCCUAGGUUCAACCUUGCUUUCCCCCUUAUCCACGUCCAGGAAUGAUUAGGUUAGCUGUUGUUAGGUUAAGACUUAAUGAGGAGUUUCUCCAUUUCACCAUUGCCCAUGUUUUUCCCAGCCUAGACAAUGCUGUGUGUUGCAAGGUAGAGCAUGGAUUCCACAUUCGCUCCCUUUGAUGGUGUGUCAAGCAGUGACAUUUGGCACUUGGUUUCUGAUGCAACUCAUACCAAAGAAAUCUGCAUAUGACACAUACAUUAAAAAGGUAUUUUGGGUUCUUUGUGCUCUGGUUUUAUAACAUAAAAAUGGUCAAGCCAUCUCCAGUGAUUCAUCUAGACCAGCUCCAUAGGUCAAACACAAGAAUAAAAGCAAACUAAGAACCGAGUGGUAUUUCAUUUUCCAGUAGUCCCAGAGACUUAGCUUACUGGUUUUUUAAGACAAAGACUAAUUUUGCACCUUUGUGUUUCA